GAUGAACGCUGGCGGCGUGCCUAAUACAUGCGAGUCGAGCGAACGGACGAGAAGCUUGCUUCUCUGAUGUUAGCGGCGGACGGGUGAGUAACACGUGGAUAACCUACCUAUAAGACUGGGAUAACUUCGGGAAACCGGAGCUAAUACCGGAUAAUAUUUUGAACCGCAUGGUUCAAAAGUGAAAGACGGUCUUGCUGUCACUUAUAGAUGGAUCCGCGCUGCAUUAGCUAGUUGGUAAGGUAACGGCUUACCAAGGCAACGAUGCAUAGCCGACCUGAGAGGGUGAUCGGCCACACUGGAACUGAGACACGGUCCAGACUCCUACGGGAGGCAGCAGUAGGGAAUCUUCCGCAAUGGGCGAAAGCCUGACGGAGCAACGCCGCGUGAGUGAUGAAGGUCUUCGGAUCGUAAAACUCUGUUAUUAGGGAAGAACAUAUGUGUAAGUAACUGUGCACAUCUUGACGGUACCUAAUCAGAAAGCCACGGCUAACUACGUG
rnacentral:rRNA from 1 species